UGCUGGUGACAAUAAGACUUUCUCCAAAGUCCGGUUUACUUUACAUCAGGCUAUCCAAGUUCCAUGUACAUCCACAUGGUGUGAAUUAGGGAUGAAUGUGGGAAAAUGAGAAAAUGAAGAGAAGGCAGGAAGUACUAACAGGGGGGGAAAAAAGAAAGGCAAUAGAUGUAAACUAGCAGACUGAAACUAUUAAGACUAUUAUGUGUUCAUAUAGUCUUUCAAACAAUCUUGAUUCUACAAUGUGAACAGACCAGCAGUGUACUCUGAGUGUAUUUAUGUGUGUGUGUGUAUGCGGCGAAACACACCCCCACAUGAACGCAGACCAGACUUUGACCAACAUGACUCGGCAGCAUUUGGGUAAUUGCCCCACAGUUGGCUUCUGCUUCCAGCUACACUGAGCUAGCAGAAGCGGAGUGUAACUUUAGCUGGACUGAAACCCACUCUGGCCCUGGCCGCGGUCCAAGUCCGCCGGUCUGUUUGUUCAACCCGCCUCAUCACAGCCGCACUGAUUCUAACUGAAUGCCAGCGCACGGAGGUGGGUUAAGCCGAGGCCUCACAAUACCCUUGACACAAAGGGUGGAGAGGAGAGCUGCUCCAGAUAAUGGGGCUGAUAUUGAUACUGCUCUUUCUUUGCUGAUACAGUCCAGGAAGUGAUCUGAAUAUCUUCAGCAGUGUCACGCCGGUGCAAUUUUAACGUUAUUUUUUCCCCUUAGUUUGUUUUUUUUCCCCUUCUUCUUUUUUUGUUUUUUUCCAUGUCAUGUAUUUGUAAUUGGUCCCUCUUCUCUUUCACUUUGCAUUUUCCAUUCAGCGCCCAUUUCUUAGUUCUCCUUUCCUGUGGUGUCAAAUCAUGAGCCACAAGGUUAAAAUAGCCCAUCGUAUGCUAUUUUUACGCUGACUUAUGAUGCCAGAUUUGACCGAUUUUGACGUGGCUGUCAUUUCACUUCCUUAAAUUCAGCAACUGGUCUUAGGCACAUGACCUGACCCCAGUCAUGAUACAUAUCUAUGGAAUGUGUUGUCUUUGAUACGAACAGACUUCACUUCUUGUGUUUUUGUCUGUCUUUGGCACACUUUCAUGGCUAAGCCGUUAAAAUGAUCAGUGACAUCACAUCUACGUCAAAACUAUGGUCGGUCAGUCUCUUUUCUGGCUAGACGUCAGCCAUGUGACCGUCAUGGUCAGUUGUGUCUUAGUGGCUAACUGUCCUGACUUCACUAGCUCCUCUCUAAUCCUACAGCUUGUUAAUUGGUUUAGGCUGUUUCCUUUGUGGCAGACUGCGUCACAAAGUAAAGGUAACCUCAGCCCAGACAUAAGUAUAUUAACAUGGUUAAGUAAAAAUAGCUACGGGUGGCUAAAUAAAACUUCGAUGUAUGUGGAAGUGAGUAUUUUGGGCACCUGUGAUCUUGUUAUUGGCGUUAAAUUUAGCUCUGUGGUCCUCAGUGAGGAGUGGAAACAGUGACAGGGACCUGUUUUGCCACAACACACUUCCUGUGCACUGUGAGUAGUGAGUAAACCACAACCCAGUGACGCAACGUUCGGAAAAAAAAACAAAAAAAAACAGAGCGAGCAAAAGAAAAAAAAGAAAGUAACAAAGAAGAGAGGAAAAUCAGUAAUCAGGAAGUUGUGGCUUCAUUUGAAAAAGGAAAAUUGUUGACUGAACUGUAAAUGGAUACUGUAAGUGAACUUGUGUGAAUUUCCUGUGUGCGGACUUUCCCCUUUCAGAUAACACAAUGAUAAGUUUUCCACGUUCCUGGAUUCUCACUGUGGUUCCUGCAUCAAGCUCAGUCACACCUGCACAAAGUUACGAGCCGUGGACAAUGAUAUGGCACAGCUUGUCCCGUGUCAAGCCAAUUAGUCGAUCUCAUUAACCAAUGCUGUCAACCAGAAGACUGCGGUUUGAGUCCUGUUUCAGCAGCUUGGCAGCGACUGGAAAAUAUAAAAAGAAAGAAGGAGUUUCCGCCAGUGCCUGUCUACACAGAGACUGCUCGUUCCCUAAUAGUGCCAGCGUGCAGCAAUUCAUCUACGGCGCACUUGCGGGAUAGUCUUCAAGAGGCCGCUGUUCAUUAGCAUUACGCUAAUGUAUGUUGAUUGGUCGGUCAGCAUUCGCUUCAAUUGUGAAUUGAUGGCUUCAAUCAAAACAAAGUUGAUCAAAGUUGCCGACGGCUGAAAUUCUAUUGCGGGGCUAAAGAAAGGUCAGAAGAUCACCUGAGGUCCUGAGAUGCUGCAUAGACUCAAGAUGGAGCAUCUGCUGCAAGGGCCGAUGCCGCCAGUUGGUACAGAAGCCUGACUCGGAUGGCCGUGCCUAAGACCAAACUCAUAUCUGCCUCAUCGCUGAUUAACGUUCACCGCUCACGGCAUCCUUGAGUGUGACUGCAGGGCUUAACACAUGCAAGGGACCAGUUGAAGAUGUCAGGUCCUCGGUGAAUCCACUAAAACAGAUAACCGUUCUGUGCAUGGCAUGCUUUGCACAAAUGUUUUUUGUUCAGCUGGAAGGAGCAUCGUUUAUAAACCCUCCACAACCUACAGACAGAUGGAAGGCGGGG
ensembl:lncRNA